AGAAUCAACGCUGGCGGCGUGCCUAACACAUGCAAGUCGCACGAGAAAGGGGAGCAAUCCCUGAGUACAGUGGCGCACGGGUGAGUAACACGUGAAUAAUCUACCUCCGAGUGGGGAAUAACUGAGAGAAAUCUUAGCUAAUACCGCAUAACACUUACGAGUCAAAGCAGCAAUGCGCUUGGAGAGGAGUUCGCGGCCGAUUAGUUAGUUGGCGGGGUAAUGGCCCACCAAGACGAUGAUCGGUAUCCGGCCUGAGAGGGCGCACGGACACACUGGAACUGAAACACGGUCCAGACUCCUACGGAGGCAGCAGUGGGGAAUUUUGCGCAAUGGGGGAAACCCUGACGCAGCAACGCCGCGUGGAGGAUGAAGCCCCUUGGGGUGUAAACUCCUUUCGAUCGGGAAGAUAAUGACGGUACCGAUAUAAGAAGCCCGGCUAACUUCGCGCCAGCAGCCCGC
rnacentral:rRNA from 1 species